UACAGAGGUCCCAAGCGUUGUUCGGAUUCACUGGGCGUAAAGGGUGCGUAGGUGGUGGGGUAAGUCGGAUGUGAAAGCUCGGAGCUCAACUCCGAAAUGGCAUUGGAAACUACCCUGCUAGAGGAUUGGAGGGGGGACUGGAAUACUUGGUGUAGCAGUGAGAUGCGUAGAUAUCAAGUGGAACACCAGUGGCGAAGGCGGCUUACUGGUCCGGUUCUGACGCUGAGGCGCGAAAGCGUGGGGAGCAAACAGG
rnacentral:rRNA from 1 species